rnacentral:lncRNA from 1 species
AACACAGAUAUGUAGAACUCUUCUUGAAUUCUACAGCAGGAGCAAGCGGUGGUGCUUACGAACACAGAUAUGUAGAACUCUUCUUGAAUUCUACAGCAGGAGCAAGCGGUGGUGCUUAUGGUAGCCAAAUGAUGGGAGGCAUGGGCUUGUCAAACCAGUCCAGUUACGGUGGCCCAGCCAGCCAGCAGCUGAGUGGUGGUUAUGGAGGUGGCUAUGGUGGCCAGAGCAGCAUGAGCGGAUAUGGUGAGUGUUUUUUUCAUAUACUUAGAGUAUGUUUUAGGUAGGUUUCUUUAGUUGGGGGUGAUAUGCAGGCUCCUUUUAAAAAGUGGGGUAUUAAAUGUAUUUUUUCAUUAUGAUUCUUAAUAGCUUAAUUUACAGAAAUAGUCAUUGGGGAGGAUAUAUGUUCUAAUCAUAAUUUUGAACACUAUCAAACUAAAACAUCUGUGUAUUAAAACAUUAAUUUGCUUUUCUGUUGUAGCAUUAAAUUAAUUUUCGACAGAGUGAUUCUUAUGUUUAGAAUGGUGGUUGGGUUCAAGACAGUAUUUUACUAGGGAUGGUAUGU